rnacentral:rRNA from 1 species
GCCCGCUCAGAACUUAAAGGAAGUGACGGGGCCCGGCACAAGCGGUGGAGCAUGUGGUUUAAUUCGAUGAUACGCGAGGAACCUUACCUGGGCUCAAAUGUAUGUUGACGUAUUCUGAAAGGGAUACUUCUUCGGACAAUAUGCAAGGUGCUGCAGUGGUUGUCGUCAGCUCGUGCCGUGAGGUGUCGGGUUAAGUCCCAUAACGAGCGCAACCCCUAUUGUUAGUUGCCAUCAGGUCAUGCUGGGGACUCUAACAAAACUGCCCGCGUAAGCGUGGAGGAAGGUGGGGAUGACGUCAAAUCAGCACGGCCCUUACGUCCAGGGCUACACACGUGCUACAAUGGCCGGUACAGAGGGCAGCCACUUGGUGACAAGGAGCAAAUCUCAAAAGCCGGUCUCAGUUCGGAUCGGAGUCUGCAACUCGACUCCGUGAAGUUGGAUUCGCUAGUAAUCGUAGAUCAGCAAUGCUACGGUGAAUACGUUCCCGGGCCUU